rnacentral:rRNA from 1 species
AUGGAGUGUGUACCUUCUGUCAGCUACAGGGUCCGCUUCAAUGAUACCGAGACAGAUGAGUUUACACCCACCAAGGGUCUUCGGCAGGGGGAUCCUCUUUCACCGUACCUUUUUUUGUUAUGCUCGGAAGGACUAUCUAGUAUGCUUGCUUAUGAGGAAGAAAUUGGGAAUCUGGAAGGAUCUUUGGAUGCCUAUUGUAGGAGUUCAGGUCAGAUGGUGGGUAAUCCCAAACCUAGCAUUUUCUUUAGCCCUAAUACUACGGUUGGUGCAAGAGAAGAGGUAUGCGGGGAACUAAACAUUGUCACGGAGGCCCUGUCAGAUAAAUAUUUGGGGCUCCCUACUAUGGUGGGGGUUGAAAUAAGCGAUUGUUUCCGGCAUCUUAUUGACCGGGUAUGCCAGCGCCUCAAAUGUUGGAAGGUGAAAGUUCUGUCUUUGCAGGGCAAGGAAAAUUUACUAAAAUCGGUAGCCCAAGCAAUACCAUCUUAUGCAAUGCCCGUAUUCAAACUGCCUAAAGGAAUUUACAAAACAAUCACUGAUGAGUUGGAUGGAUUUUGGUGGGGUGACAAUGAGGACAAGAAGAAGAUGCAUUAG